AACGAACGCUGGCGGCAUGCCUAACACAUGCAAGUCGAACGAGACCUUCGGGUCUAGUGGCGCACGGGUGCGUAACGCGUGGGAACCUGCCCUUAGGUUCGGAGUAACUCCCCGAAAGGGGUGCUAAUACCGGAUAAUGUCUUCGGACCAAAGAUUUAUCGCCUUUGGAUGGGCCCGCGUUGGAUUAGCUAGUUGGUAGGGUAAAAGCCUACCAAGGCGACGAUCCAUAGCUGGUCUGAGAGGAUGAUCAGCCACACUGGGACUGAGACACGGCCCAGACUCCUACGGGAGGCAGCAGUGGGGAAUAUCGGACAAUGGGCGAAAGCCUGAUCCAGCAAUGCCGCGUGAGUGAUGAAGGCCUUAGGGUUGUAAAGCUCUUUUACCCGGGAUGAUAAUGACAGUACCGGGAGAAUAAGCUCCGGCUAACUCCGUG
rnacentral:rRNA from 1 species